rnacentral:rRNA from 1 species
AUUGAACGCUGGCGGCAGGCCUAACACAUGCAAGUCGAGCGGAGCGGCGGACGGGUGAGUAAUGCCUAGGUAUCUGCCUGGGAGUGGGGGAUAACGUCAGGAAAGGGGUGCUAAUACCGCAUACUUGUAGAUGAGCCUAGGUCGGAUUAGCUAGUUGGUGGGGUAAUGGUGUACCAAGGCCACGAUCCGUAACCGUUCUGAGAGGAUGAUCAGUCACACUGAAACUGAGACACGGUCCAGACUCCUACGGGAGGCAGCAGUGGGGAAUAUUGGACAAUGGGCGAAAGCCUGAUCCAGCCAUGCCGCGUGUGUGAAGAAGGUCUUCGGAUUGUAAAGCACUUUAAGUUGGGAGGCGUUACCAACAGAAUAAGCACCGGCUAACUUCGUGCCAGCAGCCGCGGUAAUUC